rnacentral:lncRNA from 1 species
GUUGUCUUCUUAAUCAAAGAGUGUGGAGAUACUGUUAUGGUAUGUAGAUAGAAUAUAAGAGUACAUUCGCAUCAAACGUGACCAUGUACCGAGUACUCUGCUGUCAAGAGAGCUUAUGAAGGGUAUAGAUAUAAGUGUUCCUCCGAUCUGAGGCCACCACGGUGACUUGAAAGUAACUCACUAUACUUUAGUACCAAACUAUUUGAGUUUCUAACUUAGCAACAAAAAGAUACUAGGUACAGUCAAAUACUUAUCAAGUCGGUGUGUGAGUCAAGAUGGAAUUGAUCCCUCUGAAUUGG